rnacentral:rRNA from 1 species
UACGUAGGGUCCAAGCGUUGUCCGGAAUCACUGGGUGUAAAGGGUGCGCAGGCGGGCUUGUGCGUCAGAGGUUAAAGACCCCGGCUUAACCGGGGAAGUGCCUUUGAUACGGCAAGUCUUGAGUACGAGAGAGGAAGGUGGAAUUCCUGGUGUAGCGGUGAAAUGCGUAGAUAUCAGGAGGAACACCAGUGGCGAAGGCGGCCUUCUGGCUCGUUACUGACGCUCAGGCACGAAAGCGUGGGGAGCAAACAGGAUUAGAUACCCUGGUAGUCCACGCCUUAAACGAUGUAUGCUUGGUGUUGGGAGGUAACUCUCAGUGCCGGAGGUAACCCGUUAAGCAUACCACCUGGGGAGUACGAUCGCAAGGUUG